rnacentral:misc_RNA from 1 species
GCCGCAACAUGCACUUCCUGUAUCUGCAGGACGACUGGCGCGCGUCGAGCAAGCUGACGCUGAACCUCGGGCUGCGCUACGAGUACUCGACGCCGUAUUGGGAGAAGGGCAAUGUGCUCUCCAAUUACGACCCGGCGGCCAAUGUCCUCGUGAAAGCCACGUCCGGCGGUCUGUCGGACCGCGCGCUGAUCGAUCCGGACCGCAACAAUUUCGGUCCGCGACUCGGAUUCGCCUAUACCGUCGCGGCCGGCACGGUCAUCCGCGGCGGCUACGGCGUCAGCUACGUGCACUUCAGCCGCGCCGGCGGCGGCGACCUGCUGCCGAUCAACGGCCCGCAGGUCGUCAACGCGGUGAUCAACCAGGCGGAUCCGACGGCGGCGUCGUUCCUGCCGGCGGAGCAGGGCUAUCCGGCGGGGCUGGCCGAUCCGGCGCAGUUCAACCCGCUGCUGGCGAACAUCACCUACAUGCCGCGUGAUUUCCAUUCGAGCCCGGUGCAGAGCUGGUACCUCUCGGUCCAGCACGAGCUGCGGCGCAACAUGCUGAUCGACGUCGCCUACGUCGGCAACCGCGCCGACGAUCUGCUCCUGUUCGCCAACUACAACCAGGCCGUGCCGAACAACGCCGCCGGGACCAUCCCGCUGGCCAACCGCCGCCCGAUCGCCGGAUUCGCCGACAUCACCUACGCCUUCAACGGCGGCAAGUCGCGCUACAAGGCGCUGCAGACCAAGUUCGAGUGGCGCGUGAGCCGGGACGUCUCGAUCCUCAGCGCGCUCACGCUGUCGCAGACCAAGGACAACGGGUCGCAGUCGCUCGAGAACACCAACGGCAACUUCCCCGCGCCGCAGGAUUUCCGCAACCUCGACGCGGACUUCGGCUACUCGGAGUACCACCAGCCGUACAACAGCACGACCAGCUUCGUGUGGACCUUGCCGUUCGGCAAGAACUCGUCGCCGGUCGUCAAUGCGUUGAUCGGCGGCUGGCAGCUUGCCGGCAUCAACCGCAUCAACGCGGGCGAGCCGGUGACGCUGACCUACACGCCGGGCGCGACGUUCGUGGUCUCGGGCAUCGCGCAGGACUUCCGCGGCGCGAACAACUACCGCGCCAACGUCAGUUGCGAUCCGCUGGCGUCCGACGCCGAGCGCACGAUCACGAACUGGUUCAACCGCGCCUGCGUCACCGCGCCGACCGAUCCGAGCCAGCCGUUCGGCAACGCCGGCCGCAACACCGCCCGCGGGCCGAAGUUCUGGCAGAUGGAUCUCGCGGCCUCGAAGCGGUUCGCGCUCGGCGGCCCGGCGCAGUUCGAGUUCCGGCUCGAGGCGUUCAACCUGCUGAACCACACCAACUUCCGAUCGCCGAACGGCAACCGGAGCGCGGGCGCCUUCGGCACGAUUACCUCGACCUUCGAUCCCCGGCAGCUGCAACUCGGGUUCAAGCUGCUGUGGUAGCCCGCGGCCUUAUGCUGCUGCUGAUGCUCUUCGCAUCGGCAGCAGCCGCCUCUCGUCCGAUCAUCAUCGGCCACCGCGGCGCGAGCGGGCAUCGGCCCGAGCACACGCUCGCGUCUUACCGCCUGGCCGCGGAGAUGGGCGCGGACUUCGUCGAGCCCGAUCUGGUUUCGACGAAGGACGGCGUCCUCCUCGCGCGCCACGAGAACGAGAUCGGCGGCACCACCGACGUCGCCA